UGCCAAAGAGGCUUUCACAACCUCCUGUGUGACAGUGGUGGAGGUGGGGAAGGUGAUGAUGUCAGGGGUGGUUGCUGCAGCAACCCCAACCUCAGGGUGUGUGCACCCUUUCCAAGAAUGUGGAGUGUGGAGUCACAGCUGAAGCCUUCAGACAAGGAGCUGUUUUCCACUUGUGCAAACACAACAAAGGAUUUAAAGGGACCUGCUUUGAGCCACCUCCAGCACCAGCAAGAUUCAGCGAAAGAAGAUGUUUCCAGCUGGAGGUGGACUGGGAGAUGUGCAUCUGUGAGCGAGUAAUUCCAUGGAGGAUUGUCUGCUACCUUUGGUGGUCGGUCCACUUCAUUUUCUUUCAGUAACUUAAUUUUUCUACCGUGUAGAAACUUUUCAUGAAAAGUUCAGGGAAGUGGUUUGAAUUCUGUCGUUUGAGUGAAUUGACCAUGCAGUCAUGGAAUUGUAGAAUCAUGGAAGAGUUUGGGUUGGAAAGGACCAUUUUGUUCCAAUCCCCUGCCAUGGGCAGGGACACCUUCCACUAGCCCAGGCUGCUCCAAGUCCUGUCCAGCCUGGCUUUGGACACUUCCAGGGAUCCAGGGGCAGCCACAGCUUCUCUGGGAAACCUCUGCCAGGUACUCCCCAUCCUCCCAGGGUCUAUCCCAUAUCCCAUCUAAAUCUUCCUUAUUUCAGUCACUUUGGGGUUUGCAUUACAGACUGCUCAGUUGUGCAGCAAGAGCCAGGAGCCACAGCUGAGGGGCACAGGAGAGAAAAAGCUGGGAAGGGCAGUCUGAGUGGGAGCCUUGCAGUCCGUGAAUCUGACUGAAUCAUGCUGCUGAUGUCAUUUAUUAGGGCUGUUUCCUGCUGAGGAACAGACUCAGCACCACACAGGUCUCCAGCCACUGCUGGCACGCUCCGGAGCAGUGAAUCACCGGUGCUGUUUGCUGAGCUGAGUCACUUGCGUGGACAGAGACCUCACAGAAAAUAUUCCUUGGUGAACAAACUACUCCAGGAGCUCAGUAAAAAAAAAAAUCCAGGUUAUUUUUUGGCAUCUUUUGCCUGAUGAAAGGAGAAUUUCCCUCAGUGGAAUAUCUCUGCUCCAAGGUGGUGUCCGGGUGCAGAGUGACCUGUGUUUCCAGCUGGCAGAACAAAGGCAGGGAUCGUGUUUGAAGCCUGUUUGUUCAGCGUCCCAGUAACAAGACUUUGGGCACCUGGGAACUUUGGCAAGCAAAACCUGUAUUUCAUUAUCUUUUUUUGUUUUUCCUUCUGAAUCCUAAAGAAACAGAGGGAAAAAAAAGGUUUAAGUUUU
rnacentral:lncRNA from 1 species